GCUCGAGUGGCGAACGGGUGAGUAACACGUGAGUAACCUGCCCUUGACUUUGGGAUAACUUCAGGAAACUGGGGCUAAUACCGGAUAGGAGCUCCUGCUGCAUGGUGGGGGUUGGAAAGUCUCGGCGGUUGGGGAUGGACUCGCGGCUUAUCAGCUUGUUGGUGGGGUAGUGGCUUACCAAGGCUUUGACGGGUAGCCGGCCUGAGAGGGUGACCGGCCACAUUGGGACUGAGAUACGGCCCAG
rnacentral:rRNA from 1 species